CACUUUCUACAUCCGCCGCCGCCACACUCGAGCUCUCUCCCCGCCGCUACGCUCGAGAUCCGCCGGCCACGUGCUGUCCAACCGGCCGGGACGCCGCCCCCUCUCCCUCCCGUCCUCCAUGCUGUCCACGAACGACCUCACUCCAUAUUGCCGCCGCCACGCGCUCGACUACCCUCCACCGGGAAUGACAUACCGACAUUGGCAUCUGUGAGCUGUGGCAUGACAUUAUAGCAGGAGGAAAAAUGGCAAGCGCAAGUGGCAAGGGAUCUCUCAUUUUCUUCCAGCACUAACCUAUCUAUGCACGAAACCUCUCACGCACCUGUAACUACAUUGAUAAAGGGGAUGAUGAAGGGACUUUUGUCCAUAGAAGAGUUGUUGCAAAGGGUAAUACAUCACUCGUGGCCUCUCCAUUUGUGUCACAAUCAAUGCAUUUUUAUGCACAAGCUGAAUGUAGUAGACCUUACAGAGUUACCACAUAGAGUUAACAUUUG